UAUUACCUUUUGACUUUUAUAUUAUGCAUUUAUUUUCUACACGGGCGUGAGAGUGAAAAGUAUAUUA